rnacentral:rRNA from 1 species
GACGAACGCUGGCGGCGUGCUUAACACAUGCAAGUCGAACGGAAAGGCCCUGCUUUUGUGGGGUGCUCGAGUGGCGAACGGGUGAGUAACACGUGGGUAACCUGCCCUUGACUUUGGGAUAACUUCAGGAAACUGGGGCUAAUACCGGAUAGGAGCUCCUGCUGCAUGGUGGGGGUUGGAAAGUUUCGGCGGUUGGGGAUGGACUCGCGGCUUAUCGGCUUGUUGGUGGGGUAGUGGCUUACCAAGGCUUUGACGGGUAGCCGGCCUGAGAGGGUGACCGGCCACAUUGGGCCUGAGAUACGGCCCAGACUCCUACGGGAGGCAGCAGUGGGGAAUAUUGCACAAUGGGCGGAAGCCUGAUGCAGCAACGCCGCGUGCGGGAUGACGGCCUUCGGGUUGUAAACCGCUUUCGCCUGUGACGAAGCGUGAGUGACGGUAAUGGGUAAAGAAGCACCGGCUAACUACGUG